rnacentral:rRNA from 1 species
CUCAGAUUGAACGCUGGCGGCAGGCCUAACACAUGCGAGUCGAGCGGCAGCGGGAAAGUAGCUUGCUACUUUUGCCGGCGAGCGGCGGACGGGUGAGUAAUGCCUAGGGAUCUGCCCAGUCGUGGGGGAUAACAGUUGGAAACGACUGCUAAUACCGCAUACGCCCUACGGGGGAAAGGAGGGGACCUUCGGGCCUUUCGCGAUUGGAUGAACCUAGGUGGGAUUAGCUAGUUGGUGAGGUAAUGGCUCACCAAGGCGACGAUCCCUAGCUGGUCUGAGAGGAUGAUCAGCCACACUGGAACUGAGACACGGUCCAGACUCCUACGGGAGGCAGCAGUGGGGAAUAUUGCACGAAUGGGGGAAACCCUGAUGCAGCCAUGCCGCGUGUGUGAAGAAGGCCUUCGGUUGUAAACGCACUUUCAGUCAGGAGGAAAGGUAGCGUGUUAUAGUCACGUUGCGUGUGACGUUACUGACAGAGAAGACCGGCUAACGUCGUCG